UACGUAGGUGGCAAGCGUUGUUCGGAUUCACUGGGCGUAAAGGGCACGUAGGCGGCUUGGCAAAUCGGUCGUGGAAUCCCGACGCUUACCGUCGGAACGGCGGCCGAAAAUACCGAGCUCGAGGGCGUGAGGGGUCACUGGAACUCCUGGUGAAGCGGUGAAAUGCGUAGAUAUCAGGAGGAACGCCGGAGGCGAAAGCGAGUGACUGGCGCGUUCCUGACGCUGAGGUGCGAAAGCUAGGGGAGCAAACAGG
rnacentral:rRNA from 1 species